CUCCAUUGAAGCUUGAGGAGCCAUCAAUCCUUGGUUGUGUGACCAUUGGUGGAUUGAGACAUUUGGACCAACCGUGAGUGAUCAACCAUUGGAGCAAGCUAUGGAGCUUGAAUAGCUCAUUGGAAUUGGUGUUGGUUUUGGAGUAGAGUAUUGUUGACAUUGGUGAAGAACAAAGGUCGACUGAAGCAUUGAGGUAAGGAUGCUGCAGGAGCCUCUGGUGGCAAGUGGCCAUAUCUGGAUUAUGCAUGAAAUAUGGCAUUUCUUUGAGUUUAUGCAUGCCUUUUGUAGUUGACAUGUAUAGGAUUUUAUUUUGAAAGCCCAUGGUCAUUUGUAUAUCUUGAUUCAUUGGAUGAACUUAGCCUAUGCUCAUGCCUUUGGUUACACCUUUUGUUGAUGGGAGCCAAGGGAAUGAUCAUAGUGUUUUGUAAGCUAAGUUCUAUGAUUUGUAAAGGAUAUGUAAUGUAAAUGA